UUACUGGCUAAGAGGUCAGUAAUAAUUAAAUAUCUUUUUUAAUUAGUUUCUAAAAAAGGGUUAAAGUUACCCAGUUUUAAUAAUUGUGUUACAACUUUUUUUAUUAAGUUCAAUGAGAUUUUUUGUAUAGAUCACUUAAAUUUUAACAGUUAGAUUUUUAUUAUGAUUAAAUAAGUAAUAUCAAUAUAAGUUCUGUUUCUCGAGAGUUGCCUGUCUGUUUAUUAAAAACAUUUCCACGUGGAGAAAUUUAGGUGGUAGUACCUGCUCUAUGCUUUAAGUAAAUGGCCGCAGUAUCUUGACUGUGCGAAGGUAGCAUAAUUAAUUGCCUUAUAAUUGAAGGCUUGUCUGAAUGGUUUGACAAGGUAAUUUUUAACAUGACUUAUAUUUUUGAAAUUAAUUCUGGGGGCACAGAAUCCCCUUAAUUUAAUUAGACGGAAAGACCCCGGGAUCUUUUAUUUUUGUCUGGGGCAGAUUGUAGUAGUUCACUAAUAAAUUUGACCCUAAUGGUUCAUUGGUUUAAGUUACCCCGGGGAUAACAGUGUAAUAGUUUAUUAGAGAUCAUAUCGAAUUAAUUGUUUGCCACCUC
rnacentral:rRNA from 1 species